rnacentral:rRNA from 1 species
CAGCCGCCACGGGAAUACGAAGGGUGCAAGCGUUACUCGGAAUUACUGGGCGUAAAGCGUGCGUAGGUGGUGGUUUAAGUCCGUUGUGAAAGCCCUGGGCUCAACCUGGGAAUUGCAGUGGAUACUGGAUCACUAGAGUGUGGUAGAGGAUAGUGGAAUUUCCGGUGUAGCAGUGAAAUGCGUAGAGAUCGGAAGGAACAUCUGUGGCGAAGGCGACUAUCUGGGCCAACACUGACACUGAGGCACGAAAGCGUGGGGAGCAAACAGGAUUAGAUACCCCGGUAGUCCCUGUCUCUUAUAC